AUUGAACGCUGGCGGCAGGCCUAACACAUGCAAGUCGAGCGGAUGAAGGGAGCUUGAUCCUGGAUUCAGCGGCGGACGGGUGUGUAAUGCCUAGGAAUCUGCCUGGUAGUGGGGGAUAACGUCCGGAAACGGGCGCUAAUACCGCAUACGUCCUGAGGGAGAAAGUGGGGGAUCUUCGGACCUCACGCUAUCAGAUGAGCCUAGGUCGGAUUAGCUAGUUGGUGGGGUAAAGGCCUACCAAGGCGACGAUCCGUAACUGGUCUGAGAGGAUGAUCAGUCACACUGGAACUGAGACACGGUCCAGACUCCUACGGGAGGCAGCAGUGGGGAAUAUUGGACAAUGGGCGAAAGCCUGAUCCAGCCAUGCCGCGUGUGUGAAGAAGGUCUUCGGAUUGUAAAGCACUUUAAGUUGGGAGGAAGGGCAGUAAGUUAAUACCUUGCUGUUUUGACGUUACCAACAGAAUAAGCACCGGCUAACUUCGUG
rnacentral:rRNA from 1 species